CCAAUAAUUAGCAAUGCAUUUUCCAAAUGUUGUUGCAUCUGCUUAUCCCUGUACCAUUUUUUUCCCUGUGUAAUUUUUUUUAAAGUUAGAGUAUUUUAAAGCAAUUUUUGUACAUUAUUUCACCCAUAUCCAUAUGGAUUUUUUUUACACAACCACAAUGCCAGUAUCAUACCUAACAAAAUUCAUGAUAAUCUUUAACAUCCUCUAACACUCUGUUAUUGUUGAAAUUUCCCUAGUUGUCUCAAAAAUGUCUCUUUAAAGUUGAUUUGUUAAUAUCCAAUAGAGACUAGCCCACUGUUUUUGGUGGUUACAUUUCUUAAGUCUGAGGCUUUCUUUCCCCAAGUUUUUACUGAAAUUCCAGCUAGUUAACAUAUACUGCAAGAUGAGCUUAGGGUGUAGAAUUUAGUGAUUCAUCACUUGCAUACAGCACCUGGUGCUCAGGUGUUUUUUUUAACCUGUGUUGUAUACUUAUUAAAGAAAUGGGUCAUGUGUCCUACUCGUUUCACCGAUCACAUCUUGAGAACACCAGUCUAGACUUCUUAUUUAGGUUAUCAAGAGUCUUUCUUUCUGGAGAGCUCUCUGAUGGACUCAGGUAUCUCCUUGCACAGACUGGCAGCCUUCAGAGGUGAUGACUUCGCCACAUGGUGAACAACAUUUCUCAGGAGGCACAUUUCUUCCAUUGUUUAUUCAUUUUUCUUCAUCAGAUAGUAUUCCUACAUGGCAUUCACCCUACAAAUUCAGUGGUGUAAAAGGAAGUUUCUGUCUUCCAGGAGUGUGCAAGUAAAAUCUAACUGGGUCAGUGAUGGCAGUGAGAAGCUGUGGAUGCUGGGUCUUACCUACACAUUUGAGAGUGAGCAGGAACCUGGGCAGCAAGAGAUAAGCCAAUAUAUCUGCCUGUUGAGCCUACAGUUAAAAAUAAUUAUAGGGAACAUGGUGAUGCUUCAGAAACUGUCAGAUAUAUUUUGUGUGUCUUUGGGAUUAGGAAGUAGGAGUGCUGCCAUCGGGCUCUCUUAGUUGAGAACAAGGAUCCAGAGGAGGUGGAAGUUCCCAGCACAAUCCAGAGCCCUGUGUGGACCCUGAUCUCCAUAAGGACUGUUUAUUGCCGGGACCCUGCUGCACUAGAAAGGUUAUUCAGAAUUACAUUCAGCUCUCCAAAAGAAGAGCAGAGUCUGUACAUUUAAGCUUUGAUUUUUCCAUCAGGUGUGAGCCAGGGCAAGAAAGGAUGUAAAUUAAAAAGGACCUGUAACUUGCUCACCAGUGCAUUCUCUGUGCAUUGGACGUUAAUUGAAAAGAGUGGGGUUUCUUUUUUUUCUGAAUACUUUUCUAUGCUUUCUAAAUUUUCUUUAGUGAGCAUAUAUUAAUUCAUCCAUUUAUUCAUUAAUUUACUCCUUUACCAAGCAGGUACUAAAGUAGUUAGAGUGUGCUUGACAUUUGCUGGGUAUUGAGUAAACAGUAGUAAAACGGAGUCCUUGCCCUCGAAGAACUUAUAUCUGGUAGAGCUGUUCAUCUUAGUUAGCAAUGACUCUGAGGCAAGUAUGGUACCAAGCAUUUCACUUACAGUAUCUCAUUCAAUUCUCAUAAUAAUUCCUUCCAUAGCAUAGGAGUAAUUAUCUUCAUCUAAUAGAUGAAGACUGAAGCUUAAACAUAGAGCAUGGCCACAGCCCAUCCAUAAUGGGUAUUUUGAAUGAGUGACGAAUGGUUGCUAUCGGAAGCCACUAAAACCCUGGGGUCAUUUGUUUUGCAGCAUGACCAUCUGACAGGCACAGAAUCCUUAAACCAUGAUACCAGAGUGCCUUCUUUUUAUAUCAUUUCUAUAAUUAGAAAUGAAAACCGUAGGAAUUGGAGAAAGCAUUAUCUGGUCAGGAUUUUUCAGUGUAAAGUGUUUUUCUGAAUCUCAAAGAUUUUUUCCAUGUGCUGUAUCUGCUACCACUCCUUCACUAUUACAGUGUUCCUUAUCCAGAAAAGUUGACCAGUCAUCCAGAGAGGUAGCACCAUCCUCUACUUUGCUGUCUUGAUGCCCUUGCUGAUACCUCUUCCUGAAUGUUUUGUAGUUGAAUUCAAUUCCAUAAGCGUCUUUGGAAUGUCUGAUAUCCUGCUCCUUCAAAGUCCCAAACUCCUACCUCCUUCAUGAAGCCAUCCCUGUUGCCCCUAGACCCAUGUGAUCUCUCUUGCUCUCCCCUAGACUUUAAUACCAUUAUUUGUCACACAUUACAUGUUACCCAGAACAUUUACUGUCAUUUUUAAUUGAAAUAAAAUCCACAUAAGAUAAAAUCUACCA
rnacentral:lncRNA from 12 species